CGGCGAGUGAAGCGGCAACAGCUCAAAUUUGAAAUCUGACCCUAGCGGUCCGAGUUGUAAUUUGUAGAGGAUGCUUUUGGUUAGGUGCCUUCCGAGUUCCCUGGAACGGGACGCCAUAGAGGGUGAGAGCCCCGUCUGGUUGGACACCGAGCCUCUGUAAAGCUCCUUCGACGAGUCGAGUAGUUUGGGAAUGCUGCUCUAAAUGGGAGGUAUAUGUCUUCUAAAGCUAAAUAUUGGCCAGAGACCGAUAGCGCACAAGUAGAGUGAUCGAAAGAUGAAAAGCACUUUGAAAAGAGGGUUAAAAAGUACGUGAAAUUGUUGAAAGGGAAGCGCUUGUGACCAGACUUGGGCCCGGUCAAUCAUCCAGGGUUCUCCCUGGUGCACUUUUCCGGCUCAGGCCAGCAUCAGUUUGUCGCGGGGGAUAAAGACGUUGGGAAUGUGGCUCCUCCGGGAGUGUUAUAGCCCUUCGUGUAAUACCCUGCUUCGGACUGAGGUUCGCGCAUCUGCAAGGAUGCUGGCGUAAUGGUCAUCAGCGACCCGUCUUGAAACACGGACCAAGGAGUCGUCUUCGUAUGCGAGUGUUCGGGUAUCAAACCCCUACGCGUAAUGAAAGUGAACGCAGGUGAGAGCUUCGGCGCAUCAUCGACCGAUCCUGAUGUUCUCGGAUGGAUUUGAGUAAGAGCAUACGGGGCCGGACCCGAAAGAAGGUGAACUAUGCCUGUAUAGGGUGAAGCCAGAGGAAACUCUGGUGGAGGCUCGCAGCGGUUCUGACGUGCAAAUCGAUCGUCAAAUAUGGGCAUGGGGGCGAAGACUAAUCGAACCUUCUAGUAGCUGGUUUCCGCCGAAGUU
rnacentral:rRNA from 1 species